rnacentral:rRNA from 1 species
GACGUAGGGCGCGAGCGUUGUCCGGAUUUAUUGGGCGUAAAGAGCUCGUAGGCGGCUUGUCGCGUCGUUUCGUGAAAACCCACAGCUCAACUGUGGGCUUGCGGGCGAUACGGGCAGGCUAGAGUUCGGUAGGGGAGACUGGAAUUCCUGGUGUAGCGGUGAAAUGCGCAGAUAUCAGGAGGAACACCGGUGGCGAAGGCGGGUCUCUGGGGCCGAUACUGACGUGGAGGAGCGGAAAAGCGUGGGGAGCGAACAGG